CAGGGCUCUACCACUGCACAGCACAGCAGUGCUGCCUGACGGGCAGAGGGAACUGCUGUGCUCGGUUGUGCACACUGCCUCUGCUCCUGGCACUGGGCACCACUGCAAGGAACCCAGCUGUACCCUCUUUGCAGCUCCCUUAGGGCAUUUAUGGAUAUGGAUGAGCUCCCUCCAAGCCUUCUCCAGCUGAACAGCCCUGGCUCUCUCAGCCUCUCCUCACAGGAGAGAACACAAGAAUCGGCAUUGAUGAUACCAAGAGCACAAAGAAGUGGAAGUUAAAAAACAGAGAAAGAAGAGAGAACCGCCAAGCUGAAGCAAUGUUAUCAGCAGAGGUCGGUGCAAACACAGCCUCCACAACUCAGCAAGAUGCACCUCCGAGUGCUCCUGGAAGGAUCCUGUGUCAGGAUCGAUAUCUAUAAACAACCUCUAUGAAGCCAAAAAGGAAGCAUUUCUGUGUAUCAAUACACAAUGCCUUACGAGGAAGAAAAAAGAACGUCUUCUUUUUAACUGCCACUCAGUGCUUUUGCUUUUUAAACUGUCUGAUGGCCAAGUUCAAAAGCAAUUUGUCCUGCACAGUCAUUGCCCAAAGUGGACAACAUAAUUAAUCAUCUAUCCUUAUGCACUUGUGACUUAAAAUGACUUUUAGCUAAAUACUCUUACCCUAGCUCUCCCCUUGAUUAAUCCUGAACCAUGUAAGCAUGAAUUUUAUUACUGGCUCUCUCCUUCUGUCAGCUGGAAUGUCACGCUGGAAUAUAAUGAAAAUAAAAUCAUAGUAUGUUCAUUUCCCCACUGCUCUAAAAAUGCCAUUUAUUUCCUUUUUGAAAUACUUUUUAG
rnacentral:lncRNA from 1 species